rnacentral:rRNA from 1 species
UACGGAGGGGGCUAGCGUUGUUCGGAAUUACUGGGCGUAAAGGGUACGUAGGCGGAUGUGCAAGUUGGGGGUGAAAUCCCGGGGCUUAACCCCGGAAUUGCCUUCAAAACUGUGCAUCUUGAGGCCGAGAGAGGUAAGGGGAAUUCCUAGUGUAGAGGUGAAAUUCGUAGAUAUUAGGAAGAACACCAGUGGCGAAGGCGCCUUACUGGCUCGGUACUGACGCUGAGGUACGAAAGCGUGGGGAGCAAACAGG